UAGAGCAUUCUUUCGUUAUUCUUAGUGCGUUCGAAAAGAUUCUAUGCACUUUUCUAAUACUGAACAACACACGAAAGAAUGCUCUUGCUCUAGCUGUAGCUCGAUGUUCGUUUGAUAUAAAUGCUCCGUAUAACAGUAUUAUUUCCAAUGAAUCAAUAAAACAACACUACAAAGGUCGUCUAGCACCAUCACUUUUUCACUGAAAAUAAUACUGCUAUAGGUAGUGUCAACAUGAUGAAGACUUUUGUCUUAAUCUUCUUAUGUAUAUAAAAAUGAAUCGCAAAAUGUGUUGGUAAGCGCAUAACUCGAGAACGGCAGAACCGAUUUCGAUAAUUCUUUUUUUAUUCCUUGAAGUACGAGGAUGGUUCUUAUGUAGAGAAAACGUAAACAUGUACCACGGGCGAAGCCGGGGCGGACCGCUAGUUUGAUAAUAAAAAAUAUUAUAUGGCCUUUGCUCCCGUUCGUCAUUAAGAAAAUUAUUGUAUGUCUAUUAUAAGUAAGUAAUUUAGAAUGUUGUGGAAAUAUAGAACUAAUAAUCCGCUAUCCGUGUUUUAAUCAGUUACAUUCAGUAAAUAUUAAUUAUGGCUAGUAAAUUUCUAAUCACCAGCAGUCACUUUAGUUGACUUUAUUUUUCGGGAAGGAAAUAUAUGAUUUUAUUUUCUCUGAGUCAGUGUUAGUAUAUUUAAACAUUUCUUAUAUUUCAGCUCGUUUAUGCACCACAUUAGCGGGGAGACAGGUGUUAAUCUACAAGGGUUACUCGUUCAGUAAAAACGGGCCUAUAGCUGAUGGUGGAAAGCGAUACGCUUGCUCAAACCGCAUGAGCAAACGCUGUCAUGCCCACCUUCAUAUUAAUAAAGAUGGGAUAAUAAAAAAAGAGAAGAAUGAGCAUAAUCAUCCUCCUCCAGAUUGGGUGAUAUCGAAUAAUGGACUUUAUGUUAUAAGGAAGAAACCGUAAGAAGUAACGUGUAUGGAUGGUGUAGUAGAAUGAAGUGCAGUAGCACACAAACAGUAUGUAGACGAAGCUGACCUUUAAGAUAUGUGCAUCGAUAUAAGACUGGUCAUCACCAAAUCGUCUAAUCGCUAAACUCCUCAAAGAUGAAGCGCCGAUAUACGUCUUGAUGAUAUUGUCUUCGAAGAUAAUGGAUCAGUUUUCGAUAAUUUUUCAUCCAUGGCUUUAAUUUAUCGUUUUUUAUUUGGUUCGCCAUCAGCAAUCACGCACAUCAAUAAACCACUAACAUCUUCGGCAUCUAUAAUAAAAAGAAAUACUUUGUAACUACCUUGACAAUUUAAUACGUAUCCGAUUGACGCUAUUUCAACACAUAACACGAAAAUUGUACUAUAAAAUUGGCUAUUAUGUACAAUUUUAUAGUAGGUAUAAUUUAUAUGUAUUUUGUAUAGAAAUGACAAAGAAUGGGUUUAAAUAAGUCGCUUUUUCAUAAAAAUAGGUCAGUUAAGUAUCAUUAUAGUAGUACCUCUGUCAAAUAAUUUAUGGGAAAUUAUUACGAAUAAAUCAUUGAAUGUACCUA